AAAGCUCUUUUGUGCGGGAAGAUAAUGACGGUACCGCAAGAAUAAGCCCCGGCUAACUUCGUGCCAGCAGCCGCGGUAAUACGAAGGGGGCUAGCGUUGCUCGGAAUCACUGGGCGUAAAGGGUGCGUAGGCGGGUCUUUAAGUCAGGGGUGAAAUCCUGGAGCUCAACUCCAGAACUGCCUUUGAUACUGAGGAUCUUGAGUUCGGGAGAGGUGAGUGGAACUGCGAGUGUAGAGGUGAAAUUCGUAGAUAUUCGCAAGAACACCAGUGGCGAAGGCGGCUCACUGGCCCGAUACUGACGCUGAGGCACGAAA
rnacentral:rRNA from 1 species